UGUAGUAGGUCUCCAGUAUAGUCCAAAGUGAGUAUUUUCCUUAAUCAGUCUUCACUGUGGACAGCACUGCAUGUCUGGAACCUGAGAGGAUUAUAAAAAUGCAGUGAGUGAAUUAAGGUCAGGGAACCUGGCA
rnacentral:snoRNA from 1 species